rnacentral:rRNA from 1 species
UACAGAGGGUGCAAGCGUUGUUCGGAAUUACUGGGCGUAAAGAGUGUGUAGGCGGUGCUCCCAGUCUGUUGUGAAAUCUCCCGGCUUAACUGGGAGGGUGCAGCGGAAACUAGAGUGCUAGAGGGUGGGAGAGGUAAGCGGAAUUCCUGGUGUAGCGGUGAAAUGCGUAGAUAUCAGGAGGAACACCUGUGGUGUAGACAGCUUACUGGACCACUUCUGACGCUGAGACACGAAAGCGUGGGUAGCAAACAGG